AGUGGCGGACGGGUGAGUAACGCGUGAGAAUCUGCCUUCAGGUCUGGGACAACAGAAGGAAACUUCUGCUAAUCCCGGAUGAGCCUUAGGGUAAAAGAUAAAUUGCCUGGAGAUGAGCUCGCGUCUGAUUAGCUAGUUGGUGUGGUAAAAGCAUACCAAGGCAACGAUCAGUAGCUGGUCUGAGAGGAAGAUCAGCCACACUGGGACUGAGACACGGCCCAGACUCCUACGGGAGGCAGCAGUGGGGAAUAUUGCACAAUGGGGGAAACCCUGAUGCAGCCAUGCCGCGUGUGUGAAGAAGGCCUUCGGGUUGUAAAGCACUUUCAGUUGUGAGGAAAAGUUAGUAGUUAAUACCUGCUAGCCGUGACGUUAACAACAGAAGAAGCACCGGCUAACUCCGUGCCAGCAGCCGCGGUAAUACGGAGGGUGCGAGCGUUAAUCGGAAUUACUGGGCGUAAAGCGCACGCAGGCGGUUUGUUAAGCUAGAUGUGAAAGCCCCGGGCUCAACCUGGGAUGGUCAUUUAGAACUGGCAGACUAGAGUCUUGGAGAGGGGAGUGGAAUUCCAGGUGUAGCGGUGAAAUGCGUAGAUAUCUGGAGGAACAUCAGUGGCGAAGGCGACUCCCUGGCCAAAGACUGACGCUCAUGUGCGAAAGUGUGGGUAGCGAACAGGAUUAGAUACCCUGGUAGUCCACACCGUAAACGCUGUCUACUAGCUGUGUGUGUCUUUAAGACGUGCGU
rnacentral:rRNA from 1 species